AAGCUUGUGGAGUUUUGCAGGGAUUUGAAUCUUAUGUUAAAGGUUCUGUUCUAACAUCUUUGAGGUUAUAGCUGAAGAAACUUCAAGUUUGAGCUGUUGAGAUUCGAUAGUCAUGAGGAAGGAGGAGACUUCAAAA